UCAGAAUUGGUAAUCUGCCUGAUACUAAGCAGGUUUGGGCCUGGCCAGUAGUUGGAUGGGAGACAAACUAGGAAAGCUGGGUUGCGUCUGGG
rnacentral:rRNA from 1 species